rnacentral:rRNA from 1 species
UAGCGUAUAUUAAAGUUGUUGCGGUUAAAAAGCUCGUAGUUGGAUUUCUGUUGAGGGACGCCGGUCCGCCUUUUGGGCGUGCAUCUGGUUGUGCCUCGGCAUCUUCUCGGAGAGCGUCACUGCGCUUCACUGCGUGGUACGUGCUGCGAGACUUUUACUUUGAGGAAAUUAGAGUGUUCACGGCAGGCAAUCGCCUUGAAUAUAUUAGCAUGGAAUAAUAUUAUAGGAUCUUGAUCCUAUUUUGUUGGUUUCUAGGAUUAAGAUAAUGAUAAAUAGGGAUAAUUGGGGGCAUUUGUAUUAACGCGUC